UUUUGGCUCAAGGUUAGACAUUCUUCUUCGUUUUUCCGACAAGAGACGAUCAGCAUGAGUACCGGAUGUAAGUAGCUCUAUAGCACUUCUCAAGGUGGGCGUGAAAUCCCGAAUUUUGAUUUCCGUUUUGACAUCGAUAACAUUACGAUCUUCAGUAGGGCGGUAGACGUGAAAUAAAAGUGACAAUGCUUCUAAUUUUUUUUUAUCUGUAUUGAAAACAUGUGAAAGAACAGAUUCGCGUGGAAAAAUCCAUUUAGUAUCAGGGGCAUCUGAGAACUCCAUUACAAUGUCAAAAUGCCUCCUCACUUCCUUUUUGUUGUUUAUCAAAGAAUCAAAAAACUCAUCUUUAUCCUGCUGAUUUAUGGAAAGAGUGAUGCGUUUUCUGGGUGGUUUUUUAGCGCGUUUGGGUAAUGGAAAAGUGCUAGGACCAAUUAAUUCAUUAUGAAGAAGCAUACAUUGUUCAGGAGUUCCCAGGCCCUUCGAAAUCCUUUUUAAAAUAUUGAAAAUAGUAGGGUCUUCAUUAGCGCGAGAUUUAAGACGCUGUAAUGAAGCAUCAG